CCUACGGGAGGCAGCAGUAAGGAAUAUUGGUCAAUGGGCGCAAGCCUGAACCAGCCAUGCCGCGUGCAGGAUGACGGCCCUCUGGGUUGUAAACUGCUUUUAUACGGGAAGAACAGCAUCUACGUGUAGGUGUUUGACGGUACUGUAAGAAUAAGGACCGGCUAACUUCGUGCCAGCAGCCGCGGUAAUACGAAGGGUCCAAGCGUUAUCCGGAUUUAUUGGGUUUAAAGGGUGCGUAGGCGGCUUUUUAAGUCAGUGGUGAAAGCCUGAUGCUCAACAUCAGAACUGCCAUUGAUACUGAAGAGCUUGAGUACAGUUGAGGUUGGCGGAAUGUGUCAUGUAGCGGUGAAAUGCUUAGAUAUGACACAGAACACCGAUUGCGAAGGCAGCUAGCUAAGCUGUUACUGACGCUGAUGCACGAAAGCGUGGGGAGCAAACAGGAUUAGAUACCCUGGUAGUCCACGCCCUAAACCGUUGAUAACUCGUUGUUAGCGAUAUACUGUUAGCGACCAAGCGAAAGCAUUAAGUUAUCCACCUGGGAAGUACGGUCGCAGAUUGAAACUCAAAUGAAUUGACGG
rnacentral:rRNA from 1 species